UACGGAGGGUGCAAGCGUUAUCCGGAUUCACUGGGUUUAAAGGGUGCGUAGGAGGGCAGGUAAGUCAGUGGUGAAAUCUCCGAGCUUAACUUGGAACUGCCGUUGAUACUAUCUGUCUUGAAUAUUGUGGAGGUGAGCGGAAUAUGUCAUGUAGCGGUGAAAUGCUUAGAUAUGACAUAGAACACCAAUUGCGAAGGCAGCUCGCUACGCAUAUAUUGACUCUGAGGCACGAAAGCGUGGGGAUCAAACAGG
rnacentral:rRNA from 1 species